rnacentral:pre_miRNA from 1 species
AGUGGGAUAGCUGGGUCAAACAGUGGUUCCAGUCCCAGUUUUCUGAGGAAUUUCCAUACUGCUUCCCAUAGUGGUUGCACCAAUUUGCAGUCCCAUCAGCAAU